UACGGAGGGUGCGAGCGUUAUCCGGAUUCACUGGGUUUAAAGGGCGCGUAGGCGGUGCGGUAAGUCACCUGUGAAAUCUCCUGGCUCAACUGGGAGUCUGCAGGCGAAACUGCCGUGCUGGAGUGUGGGAGAGGUGAGUGGAAUUCCCAGUGUAGAGGUGAAAUUCGUAGAUAUUGGGAAGAACACCGGUGGCGAAGGCGGCUCACUGGCUCAUUACUGACGCUCAGGCGCGAUAGCGUGGGGAUCAAACAGG
rnacentral:rRNA from 1 species